rnacentral:rRNA from 1 species
UACGUAGGGUGCAAGCGUUAAUCGGAAUUACUGGGCGUAAAGCGUGCGCAGGCGGCUUUGCAAGUCAGAUGUGAAAUCCCCGGGCUCAACCUGGGAACUGCAUUUGUGACUGCAAAGCUAGAGUACGGCAGAGGGGGAUGGAAUUCCGCGUGUAGCAGUGAAAUGCGUAGAUAUGCGGAGGAACACCGAUGGCGAAGGCAAUCCCCUGGGCCUGUACUGACGCUCAGGCACGAAAGCGUGGGGAGCAAACAGG